AGAAUCAACGCUGGCGGCGUGCCUAACACAUGCAAGUCGCACGAGAAAGGGACUUCGGUCCUGAGUACAGUGGCGCACGGGUGAGUAACACGUGAAUAAUCUACCUCCGAGUGGGGGAAUAACUGAGAGAAAUCUUAGCUAAUACCGCAUAACACUUACGAGUCAAAGCAGCAAUGCGCUUGGAGAGGAGUUCGCGGCAGAUUAGUUAGUUGGCGGGGUAAUGGCCCACCAAGACGAUGAUCUGUAUCCGGCCUGAGAGGGCGCACGGACACACUGGAACUGAAACACGGUCCAGACUCCUACGGGAGGCAGCAGUGGGGAAUUUUGCGCAAUGGGGGAAACCCUGACGCAGCAACGCCGCGUGGAGGAUGAAAUCCCUUGGGAUGUAAACUCCUUUCGAUAGGGAAGAUAAUGACGGUACCUAUAGAAGAAGCCCGGCUAACUUCGCGCCAGCAGCCGAC
rnacentral:rRNA from 1 species